UACGUAGGGGGCUAGCGUUGUCCGGAAUCAUUGGGCGUAAAGAGCGUGUAGGCGGUCCGGUAAGUCCGCUGUGAAAGUCGGGGGCUCAACCCUCGAAUGCCGGUGGAUACUGUCGGGCUAGAGUGCGGAAGAGGCGAGUGGAAUUCCUGGUGUAGCGGUGAAAUGCGUAGAUAUCAGGAGGAACGCCGGAGGCGAAAGCGAGUGACUGGCGCGUUCCUGACACUGAGGCGCGAAAGCGUGGGGAGCGAACAGG
rnacentral:rRNA from 1 species